UCAUUUGCACGUACAUUUGAGGAUCUUCGAAGAAAAGUAGAAACCGGUUCGGCUCCGGCGACCCAUUUACCUAAUUUAAAGGCACGAGCAGAAAACAUCAGAAAUCAAGAUAUUUUCCUUCUACGACUGCGUUAAAGAUUCGUCGAGGAUUCUACACAAAAACCUACGACUCUACGAAAACAAAAGAUGAUCAAUCUCAUUCCAUUCGUAUUUAGCGGAAGUGGAAGAAAAGUUACCUUAUCCGACUUACAGUUACAUUCCGGAGACCGAAUUCGAUUGCCGAGGACGUUGGGGUUUCUACGCGGAUCCUGGGACCGACUGCCAAGUUUUCCAUCUCUGCAAAUACGGACC